ensembl:piRNA 21ur-5384 ncRNA
UUUAUAACGAUUUUGGACGAU